rnacentral:lncRNA from 1 species
UAGUACCCCAUUCCUUGCUGCAAUGUAAUUAUAUUUACUUACAAGUGUGCUCCUGGUGGUCUUUAACUGAAGGGCACUGACUGGGUCACUGGUGAAGUUCCCCGCAGGAACUGAGUCAGACCCCAUCUCAGGGCCCUGCACAAGAUAGGUACCUGCUCUAAGGCGUGGACCCUCGCCACAGCCCUGGCCCGUCUUGACGGGCGAGGGUUACUGUACUUGUCCCAACCGUACAGAUGAGAAAGCUGAGACUCAGGGCCAGCAACCCGGGUCCCAGCGGAGCGCCCGGCACGCGCCAACACUUCAGCACCAGUCGCGGUGGCCACCACUGUGCGCGGAGAUGGCUGCGACGCGUGCGCAGAAUCUGGACCCGAAUCCACCCAUUGUCCGUUUUCCGCUGCCGCUGGAGAGAAUCUCUGAGGUCCCCAGGAGAGCCUGCCUGCACGGAAGAGACGCCUCCUCGAAAAUGACAGGUCUUCUGAGUUCAUGAUGGGAGUUGGGCAGCAGUCGCAUACGAGCACCUGGAGAGUCCUUGCCAGUUCUUUGGGGAUGGGGAGCUCUUAAGACUGCCCUGAGACCGCCCUUUGACCUCAUUGUGGUCCUUUCUAGAUUAAAUGCUGUUUUCCAUGACCGUCUCUGUUCUUCCCAUACGCGAAUGGCAGGCAUUCAGAUCUCCAAGAAUAGAGGAUUAGGAGAGACUCCACCACCUAUGUCCUCACAGUUAAUUAUCGAUUUGUGUCAGUUGCCCAUUUUCUCACUUCCUGUUUGUGUGUCAAGGGGUAUUAAUAAAUCUUUGCCUAUUUAAAGAUAUUAGCCUUGGAUUUUCAAAUAUUGCAUAUUUUGACAUGUAAAAAUUUGUUAGUUUUAUUUUUUCAACCGAUCUGACCUGUAUAGUUGGGCUUGAGGAAGCUUCCUCAUUCUACAUGUUACUAUGGAUUUUCUAAUAUUAACACAGGGUUGUAUUUUUUCCAUAUAACUUUCUAUUGAAUUUCUUUUUCCAUAUGAUAGGUGGUGAAGGUUUAGCCCAGUAAAGCAGAGAGGUUAAGAGGUUAGAUUGGGGGCUCUGGAGCCAGACCUGUGUAGAUCUGAGUCCUGGCUCUGGCACUUGAAAGCCGUGUGACCUUGGUUAAGAUACUUAGUCCCUCUCUGCCAAAUGGAGAAAUAAGGGCACCUACCCCAUAGGGUAGUUGUGUGAUUACACAAGUUAAUACACUUCAAUCAGUAGCAAGAAAGUGAAUGUCAAGCUGUAUUUGUUCAGGCAGCCAUAUGGUAGCCCCACGUCCUUAGUAAACUGAGGUAUUGAAGUAUCUUCUUUUUCUUUCAGAAAAUAUUUGUCAAGCACCUUCUGUGUUCAAAGAACUGUUCUAGAGCUUUACAUGCUAUGGAGGUCUAGAAAUUCACAUUAUGGUGGCAGGUGACAGACAAUACAAAGAGAUAAAGCAAUUUUAUAUAGUGAUAAGCUAGGGAGGAGUGCUAAAAGGAGCCAAGGUGUAGUGGUGACUGGAAGGUGACCAGGGAAACCACUGUAGGGUUUCUAAGUGAUGAGAUCUGUGACAAAUCCCUGUGGUCAGCAGCAGGCAUUGGAUAUGUAACUUUAUUCUGUCCCAUUGAUCUUGUAGUCAACCCUGGUCUGUUCUGUAUUGUUUUAAUUACAUAAUCUUUGUAAUAAUCUUUAAUACCUG